UGGAGUUCCUCACCAUCCAAGAUUGCCACUACCGUAUUAGUACCGAUCAGUUCUGGUAUUUUUUAUACUGCAUACGCAAUUCUGUUCAUACACAAGGAUGUGGAUUGAAAGUUAAACUGAGAUUGUAACGGCAAGAACAGACGAAGUAAU